UCCGAGUUGACCCCGGCAGUCUCCUAUGAGUCCCCGCCAUUACGCGCUGACAACAUAGGACGAGGGUUGCGCUCGUUGCGGGACUUAACCCAACAUCUCACGACACGAGCUGACGACAACCAUGCACCACCUGUAUACGAGUGUCCAAAGAGCUCUCUAUCUCUAGAGAGUUCUCGUAUAUGUCAAACCUAGGUAAGGUUCUUCGCGUUGCAUCGAAUUAAACCACAUGCUCCACCGCUUGCGCGGGCCCCCGUCAAUUCCUUUGAGUUUCAACCUUGCGGUCGUACUCCCCAGGCGGGGUACUUCCUGCGUUAGCGCCGGCACCCAGAGGGUCGCUCCCCCAGGCACCUAGUACCCAUCGUUUACGGCGUGGACUAC
rnacentral:misc_RNA from 1 species